rnacentral:tRNA from 1 species
GAGGCUGUGGCUCAGUGGUAGAGCGCGUGCUUAGCAGGCACAAGGUCCUGGGUCUGAUCCCCAGCACCUGCU